rnacentral:tRNA from 1 species
UGCAGCCAUGAAGCCUACGGUUUCGAUGCCGGGCCAAGCAAUGGCACCGUUUGCUGUCCAAAAUAUGC